GUUUUGUGCUCUUUAUAAAGCAAAAUUAAAAAACCUAAAUCAGUCAUCAGCCAUUUAAAAUCACAACUAAAACCUAGCCUCCAUUUCCUCUUAUUCGGCCGAAUCUAAACCCCAGUCCCUUUGUUCUCCCUCAACUGUUCCCAAAAUUCCAUGAUUCAAGCUCCAAUCAACCUCCAUGAACAGCGAUCGGUUCAUUCAAGCCUUGAAGGGUGUUUUUUAGCCUCAAGAUCCCCUGAAACUUCGAUUUCGACGAAGCAAAAGGGAACUCAUGGCAUCCUCGUAAGGUGUGCAUGGCGUGGAGAGGAGGCUACGCACGCAUGGAAGCUUCAUCGCGUGUGAACGGUCGCUGGGGACUCUGCGAAAACUGCUGGCGUAUGUUGCAGCACUAGGCAGUAGGUUAGGAAUUGUUGUUUUGGGCCAUGUAUUUUGUUGGGUCUAUUAUUUUUGGUUGUUGGGCUAUGGACAUUGGACUUUAUUAUUUUGGUUUUGUUUUAUUUUUUUUAUUUAGUUUUUUUUGUUUUAUUUUGGUGUAAGCCCGGCCACAAAUUGGGUCUUACAAUUGUAAUUUAUGGGAACUUUAAAGAAUAUUCUCAAUAGGUAAAGGUAGAGAGUUGAAUCAUAAAA